UCCUUGCUCAGUCGGUGGAGCGUGAGGCUCUGAACCUCACGGACGUGGAUUCGAGCCCCACGUUGGGUAAAAA